GAUAUUAAUUAUUUUAUAAGANNNUUCUUGAUUAAUUUUUUUGAGGAUAAGCUCGAGAAAAAGUUAAGGUAUUUUACUACUUAGAUUGUUAUGUGGGCUUAAAAUUGGCCACCAUAAGAGUUUGUUAUAAAACAGCAAUUUUUAAUUUCUAAAAUAAAUGNNNNNNNNUCUAAAUUUCUACAGAAAUAAAGGCAUCACUCAACAAUUGCCAUAUGCCUAUGCUAGGAUGAGUAUUAGAACUAUAUNNNUGGUUUGAAAAUUUAAUGUAUUUUUCAACUAUAAAUGUAUUAAUUAAAUUAAAUUAGUUAGAAGGAACUCGGCAAACUUAAUGCUUUCGCCUGUUUAUCAAAAACAUGGCUCUCUGUAUUAUUUUCAUAGAGAGUCGAGCCUGCCCAGUGAAUAAUAUUUAACGGCCGCGGUACUCUGACCGUGCAAAGGUAGCAUAAUCAUUUGCCUUAUAAUUGAAGGCUAGUAUGAAUGGUUUAACGAGAGCAAUACUGUCUCCUUUCUAUUUUCAAGAACUUAACCUUUAGGUGAAGAGGCCUAAAUUUAAUUGAAGGACAAGAAGACCCUGUCGAGCUUAAAAGACACUACAGGAGUUCAUAUACUUUUAAAUAAAUUCUCUAUUAAGCUUUUUAGUUGGGGCGACUAAGGAACAAAAAAAGCUUCUUUUAACCAACAAACAAUCAGGUUUUGAUCCGGUAAUAGCCGAUUAAGGGAAUUAGUUACCGCAGGGAUAACAGCAUAAUCUCUCUCAAGAGACCAAAUCGAAAGAGGGGGUUGUGACCUCGAUGUUGGACUAGAAUAUCCUAAAGAUGCAGAAGUCUUUGAGGG
rnacentral:rRNA from 1 species